UACAGAGGUCUCAAGCGUUGUUCGGAUUCAUUGGGCGUAAAGGGUGCGUAGGUGGCGCUGUAAGUCGGGUGUGAAAUUUCGGAGCUUAACUCCGAAACUGCAUUCGAUACUGCGGUGCUUGAGGACUGGAGAGGAGACUGGAAUUCAUGGUGUAGCAGUGAAAAUGCGUAGAGAUCAUGAGGAAGACCAGUGGCGAAGGCGGGUCUCUGGACAGUUCCUGACACUGAGGCACGAAGGCCAGGGGGAGCAAAACGGGG
rnacentral:rRNA from 1 species